rnacentral:lncRNA from 1 species
AUAAAGAAAAAAGAUCCGUCAGUUUGAAGAUUUGUAUCCGAACACAAGGAUUUGUAUUCUGUCCAUCCAACAGUCUUGGCCUAUCUGGUUCAUUCCAUUUGCAGAACCUCCAAUUUUCUGGACUCUGAUGUGCUCUGAUAAACAGACAUGGAAGUCAUAGUUUUCUCAUGUCCAAAGGAACACAUAGGCAAUUUUGAAAAGGAAAAUGUGAAGCUUAGCAAAGCUUUGUUCCAGAAGAACAUCUUUAAACUACACUUCUGUGUCCCUGGUCCUUGCUACUGUGGUUUAAAAGAAUGCCUGCAGCACUGAUGAAUGAAUGAUUUACUGGUCAUCCCCUUACAGCACUGAAACUGGAAAAUACAGAACAAGGAAAAAGGCUGAUUCAGGGCUAACUACUAAAUGGACUUACCCUUAGGAAAGGAACUAAUUACUGUCUGGAAUUUACUUCACAAGAGGAAACUGGAACCCCAGCUUCCCCAGAGCUUAAUCUCCAUACCUGUAAAAUGGGACCAUAGCAAAUACUGCAUCCUAAAUCAUCUUGCAGAGCAUGGAGAUACUCUUCCUGGAGGCGACAGACAGCGGGAGCCAGAGCCACUCUUGGUCCUUAGCAGAACUUUCUAAUUCAUUUUGCUUCUCAUUGCAUGCCCCAGCUGCCCUGUUACGAUGAACCAAUGUACUCUGUUUCCUCCAAGGCCACAUUUUGUAGCAUGCAAUGCUUCUCGGUGAAGUAUAAUAUGGCAAGGCAAAAUCUGAUUCACCCACUUUAUGCCAUAGCUCAUGUACGGUGCACAUGAGCAAUUGUUUCCAUGAAGUCUGUACUCGCUUUGUUUCUUUUCCAUCCUGUCUGUCUCUCAUGUCUUCUAUCUCUGUCUUUAGGGCAGCAAUCUAAAAGGGAAAAAUUGCUUAACUGUUCAUUGCAUGCAGUUAAAAACUCCUGAAAAGGAUGAGCUGGAUGGUAUUACAGAUACAGCAGGAAUAAAACUGGUUAGAGCAAAUUGUUGCCCA